UACGAAGGGGGCUAGCGUUGUUCGGAAUUACUGGGCGUAAAGCGCACGUAGGCGGAUAUUUAAGUCAGGGGUGAAAUCCCGGGGCUCAACCCGGAACUGCCUUUGAUACUGGGUAUCUCGAGUCCGAGAGAGGUGAGUGGAAUUCCGAGUGUAGAGGUGAAAUUCGUAGAUAUUCGGAGGAACACCAGUGGCGAAGGCGGCUCACUGGCUCGGUACUGACGCUGAGGUGCGAAAGCGUGGGGAGCAACAGG
rnacentral:rRNA from 1 species